UUAUUUAAUGGCCGCGGUAUUUUGACCGUGCAAAGGUAGCAUAAUCAUUAGUCUAUUAAUUGUGGACUUGUAUGAAUGGCUGGACGAAAUAUUGACUGUCUCGAUUUAAUUUUAUAUAAUUUAAAUUUUGAGUUAAAAUGCUUAAAUAUUUUUGUAGGACGAGAAGACCCUAUAGAUCUUUAUUAUUUAAAUUAUUAUAUUUUUUAGGUUAUAUAUUUAUUAUAUUUUAAAUUGUUUUGUUGGGGUGACAAAAAGAUACAUUUAACUCUUUUUUUUUUUAUACAAUUAUUUUUGUUUUAAUGACCUUUUAUUAUUGUUAUAAGAUAUAGAUACCUUAGGGAUAACAGCGUAAUUUUUUUUGAGAGUUCUUAUCGACAAUAAAGAUUGCGACCUCGAUGUUG
rnacentral:rRNA from 1 species